AUUGAACGCUGGCGGCAGGCUUAACACAUGCAAGUCGAGCGGUAACAGGAGAAGCUUGCUUCUCGCUGACGAGCGGCGGACGGGUGAGUAAUACUUAGGAAUCUACCUAGUAGUGGGGGAUAGCACGGGGAAACUCGUAUUAAUACCGCAUACGACCUACGGGAGAAAGGGGGCAGUUUACUGCUCUCGCUAUUAGAUGAGCCUAAGUCGGAUUAGCUAGAUGGUGGGGUAAAGGCCUACCAUGGCGACGAUCUGUAGCUGGUCUGAGAGGAUGAUCAGCCACACCGGGACUGAGACACGGCCCGGACUCCUACGGGAGGCAGCAGUGGGGAAUAUUGGACAAUGGGGGAAACCCUGAUCCAGCCAUGCCGCGUGUGUGAAGAAGGCCUUUUGGUUGUAAAGCACUUUAAGCAGUGAAGAAGACUCCAUGGUUAAUACCCAUGGACGAUGACAUUAGCUGCAGAAUAAGCACCGGCUAACUCUGUGCCAGCAGCCGCGGUAAUACAGAGGGUGCAAGCGUUAAUCGGAAUUACUGGGCGUAAAGGGAGCGUAGGUGGCUCUAUAAGUCAGAUGUGAAAUCCCCGGGCUUAACCUGGGAACUGCAUCUGAAACUGUAGAGCUAGAGUAUGUGAGAGGAAGGUAGAAUUCCAGGUGUAGCGGUGAAAUGCGUAGAGAUCUGGAGGAAUACCGAUGGCGAAGGCAGCCUUCUGGCAUAAUACUGACACUGAGGCUCGAAAAGCGUGGGUAGCAAACAGG
rnacentral:rRNA from 1 species